UGUAAAUUGGAUCUAAGUGAGAAUAUAAUAUCAGACAAAGAUGUCCCAAGGCACGGUUGCCGAUGGCGUCCCAUGGUUGUCCAAAUGGUCUCAAUUGCUUUCAAAACAGAAGCCUCCUUUGCUCAUUCCCAACGGACCUAAAAGAUCUCGCUUUUGCUCAGUAGUUAGUGAAAGUGAAAGUCCCCAUUUGUGUUCAAUUCGACGGUGCUCUUCUCCUCUCUCUGAAUAAGGAGCUAACUUUUCAAGUUGUACCUUUGUGGGUUUCCAUUGGUUUUAGUUGUUAUCUUUCAAAAGUAUCCAUAAUUCUGAUUACGAGAUGCAAGAUCAGAUGUAAAAUCCAUCUGGGUAUUCCUUUCCUUGUUUGGUUUUUGUGUAGUCAGGUCGGGUUUUGAAGGUUUUAGUAGUUUUGGCAUGUGGGUGUAUUCUAUUUCCUUUUGUCCCAUUUGUUGACUUAUUUUUAUUCUUUUUUGAUUCUAUAGCUUCCCUUUUUUCCUGAAACUGUUGUGGAUAAGUUAAGAACUGGAAAUUUUUAUGUAAAGUUCAUGCGUGCAUAUGAAUGUUUAUGGUUUUAUUACAAGGUUCACAUUUACAGUUUUGAAUAUAAAGACAUAGUCUUAGAUUUAUUUGCCUACAUAUGAGUUGAUUGCUGAGAGAAGUGCAUAACAAUAGAAGGGAGUCAACUUAGAAUAUAGAUUGAGGCAAGUCAAUCGAGCCCUAUUCUGAUACUUGGUUUAAGUGUAAUGAAAGUAAAUUUGUACUUUUCAUUACAAUGACCAAAAACCACAUCUUUUCUUAUGUUCUCUUUUCUUGGCAACUGGAGUAAAUGCUGUUUGUAUUUAUGCAAUCCAUCACCUAUUAUUUGGAGAUAAUCUCCCAAACUAUAGUUUGAAUUUGAUAUUUGUGAAAUUUUUUGACUGUGAUUU
rnacentral:misc_RNA from 1 species